rnacentral:rRNA from 1 species
GUGGGGAAUCUUCCGCAAUGGACGAAAGUCUGACGGAGCAACGCCGCGUGAGUGAUGAAGGUCUUCGGAUUGUAAAGCUCUGUUAAUCGGGACGAAAGAGCCUAGUGUGAAUAAUGCUAGGAAGUGACGGUACCGGAAUAGAAAGCCACGGCUAACUACGUGCCAGCAGCCGCGGUAAUACGUAGGUGGCAAGCGUUGUCCGGAAUUAUUGGGCGUAAAGCGCGCGCAGGCGGAUCUGCCAGUCUGUCUUAAAAGUUCGGGGCUUAACCCCGUGAUGGGAUGGAAUCUACAGAUCUAGAGUAUCGGAGAGGAAAGUGGAAUUCCUAGUGUAGCGGUGAAAUGCGUAGAUAUUAGGAAGAACACCAGUGGCGAAGGCGACUUUCUGGACGAAAACUGACGCUGAGGCGCGAAAGCCAGGGGAGCGAACGGGAUUAGAUACCCUGGUAGUCC